CCUGUAUGUUCUUCAGUUGCCAGCGGCUUCACAGAAGGACUGUUCUGCACUUCAGCACGUGGUAUCACUUGGUGACCUCCCUGAAGCUGAACACAAAGGAAAUUGUUGGAUUUCAAAAGAUCUAUCCUCUGCUUGCAGAAUGCAUCUUUCUAAAUGAAGAGUCACCAAAUGAGAAAGGGAUGGUUUAUGUACAAGUUACCUUCCAUCAAUUUUGAGCAAGUUAUAGGAAUGGCAGCUUCCUUAAGGAAAAAUAAACUAGGAGCUAUUAUUCCUAGGAACAACAGGAACAAAUUAAGGGCUUUGGUUUCCUACCUGAAAUACAUGCACAGAAGGAA